AUGCGAACAAGUUCUCGCUGAGUUGAUCUGCAGUGAUCAGGUCAGGCUAUACAUUCGCUAAAUUAAAAUCCAUGCAACACAUUUAGCAGAUUUCUUACUAUAAUUCUGUUUUUGUAUUUGCUGGUAACAAGC